rnacentral:rRNA from 1 species
UACGUAGGUGGCAAGCGUUGUCCGGAUUUACUGGGCGUAAAGGGAGCGUAGGCGGAUACUUAAGUGGGAUGUGAAAUACCUGGGCUUAACUUGGGUGCUGCAUUCCAAACUGGGUGUCUAGAGUGUUGGAGAGGAAAGUGGAAUUCCUAGUGUAGCGGUGAAAUGCGUAGAGAUUAGGAAGAACACCAGUGGCGAAGGCGACUUUCUGGACAAUAACUGACGCUGAGGCUCGAAAGCGUGGGGAGCAAACAGGAUUAGAUACCCUGGUAGUCCACGCCGUAAACGAUGGGUACUAGGUGUAGGAGGGAUCGAAUCCUCCUGUGCCGCCGUUAACACAAUAAGUACCCCGCCUGGGGAGUACGGUCGCAAGAUUAAA